rnacentral:ncRNA from 12 species
AGCGUUUGAAGUAGAGAAUGUGCUGCUACACGCCCCUUGGGCCAAAAGAAAUGCGGGAAAGGGCACACCCGCCAAAUGCU